GAUGAACGCUGGCGGCGUGCCUAAUACAUGCAAGUCGAGCGAACAGACGAGGAGCUUGCUCCUCUCACGUUAGCGGAGGAGGGGUGAGUAACACGUGUAUAAUCUCCCUAUCUGUCUGGUAUAACUUCGGGAAACCGGCUCUUACCGCGUAGAAUCUCCUGAACCGCAGGGGUCAAUGGUGAAAGACGGUUGUUCUGUCACUUAUAGCUGGAUCCGCGCCUCAUUAGCUGGUUGGUAAUGUAACGGCUUACGAAGGGAACGGUGCGUAGCCGACCUGGGAGCGGGUACGGCCACUGUGGAGGUGAGACGCGGUCCAGACUCCUACGGGAGGCAGCAGUAGGGACUCUUCCGAAAUGGGCGAAAUCCUGCCGGAGCAACGCCGCGUGAGUGAUGCAGCUCUGCGGGUCGUAAAACUCUGUUAGUGGGGAAGAACAAAUGUGUAAGUACUGUGCACGGCUUGACGGUACCUAAUAAGAAAGCCCCGGCUAACUACGUG
rnacentral:rRNA from 1 species